rnacentral:rRNA from 1 species
GAUGAACGCUGGCGGCGUGCCUAAUACAUGCAAGUCGAGCGAACAGACGAGGAGCUUGCUCCUCUGACGUUAGCGGCGGACGGGUGAGUAACACGUGGAUAACCUACCUAUAAGACUGGGAUAACUUCGGGAAACCGGAGCUAAUACCGGAUAAUAUAUUGAACCGCAUGGUUCAAUAGUGAAAGACGGUUUUGCUGUCACUUAUAGAUGGAUCCGCUCCGCAUUAGCUAGUUGGUAAGGUAACGGCUUACCAAGGCGACGAUGAGUAGCCGACCUGAGAGGGUGAUCAGCCACACUGGAACUGAGACACGGUCCAGACUCCUACGGGAGGCAGCAGUAGGGAAUCUUGCGCAAUGGGCGAAAGCCUGACGGAGCAACGCCGCGUGAGUGAUGAAGGUCUUCGGAUCGUAAAACUCUGUUAUUAGGGAAGAAAAAAUGUGUAAGUAACUAUGCACGUCUUGACGGUACCUAAUCAGAAAGCCCCGGCUAACUACGUG